UACGGAGGGGGCUAGCGUUGUUCGGAAUUACUGGGCGUAAAGCGCACGUAGGCGGCUUUGUAAGUUAGAGGUGAAAGCCCGGAGCUCAACUCCGGAAUUGCCUUUAAGACUGCAUCGCUUGGAUCAUGGAGAGGUGAGUGGAAUUCCGAGUGUAGAGGUGAAAUUCGUAGAUAUUCGGAAGAACACCAGUGGCGAAGGCGACUCACUGGACAUGUAUUGACGCUGAGGUGCGAAAGCGUGGGGAGCAAACAGG
rnacentral:rRNA from 1 species